UUGUGACCUCAAAUCAGGUGGGACUACC
rnacentral:rRNA from 1 species